rnacentral:rRNA from 1 species
UACGUAGGGGGCAAGCGUUGUCCGGAUUUAUUGGGCGUAAAGAGCGUGUAGGCGGUUUGGUAGGUCCGCUGUGAAAACUCGAGGCUCAACCUCGAGACGCCGGUGGAAACCAUCAGGCUAGAGUCCGGAAGAGGAGAGUGGAAUUCCUGGUGUAGCGGUGAAAUGCGCAGAUAUCAGGAAGAACACCCGUGGCUAAGGCGGCUCUCUAGUACGGUACUGACGCUGAGACGCGAAAGCAUGGGGAGCG